CAGAAGAGCGUUAGGGAGGAGAUAAGGUUAGAGCCCUCAGGCAGAAAGCAAAGACUCUGGAGAGACGCCUCCAUGGCCAUUUUCAACAUAUACUCAUGAUGUAAAAACCAAAGAAAAAAAUCAGAGUCAGUUCUGAGACUUCUAAAGUCUAAACACCCCUGGAAGUCCUAGAGAACUUGCCAGAACACCAUCAAAUACAAAGGGAAAGAUUAAAAUUUGCCAACAAGCCACUUCGCCAACUAGCACUGUAAACAGCCCGGACCUGUCUGGAUCCAGCCCACCCCUCCUUCCCACCCACCGCUCCCGCCCAGCGGGGCCCUCACCACUCUGAUGACCCAUCUUCCCACCUCCUGCCUGUGCCCCACGAACACGCCUCCUGGAACCCAUCCUGCCGCUCCAUUCCCCCAUCCUUUCUACCUAUUACAUCACCCUCUUCCUGGCCCAACUCAAAUGCACCCUCUCCUCCUUGCAUAAAGCUCCCAGACACAAAUGAUCCCUCACCUCCUGGCAUUCAUGGAGUGCUUUGUACCUACCUUUCUCCUAGCUUGGGAUGUAUGUAUAUGCUUCAGUUCCCCUACUGGGUUACAGUCUUCUCGAGGACAAGGGACACAUCUCCUCCCUCACCUGCCACUAGACACUCCACAAAGGCUGGGCCUUGUUUCUCUAGCUCAUCUCUACGUCCCCAGGCCCACUGUGGGUUGUUGGCCUAAUGGCCAUCCCCACUCCCUUCCUCCUUGCCUGUGGAACCCAGCUCGCCUGACACAGGGUGAAAAUGCCAAUGACUCAUUUCCCAGCCUCGCUGGCAACUCAAGCAUGAACUUGAGACGGGGCUUGGUCACUGAGACACAAGGUGAUGCCUACCAGGGAGCUUCUGGGAAAACAUCUCCCCCCAUAUCCAUACUUCCUUUCCCUUUCUGUUCUCUGAUGUCCUCAUGCGAGGACGUAUGCUUGCAGCUGGGGUAGGCAUCUUACAGACGAGAAGGGAAGGCCCACAGAGGUUGGACCAGAGUACUGACGCCACCCUGCUGCUCAACCAACCCUAAGACUGCCUACUUCACGCGUUAUGAGAAGAAAAUAACAAACGCCUAUUGUUUAAGCCACUUUGUUACUUGCAGCCAAAAACACCUAACAGAUACAUGUAGUUGUUGACUCAUGUUCAUUCAGCACCCACCCUGUGCCAGGCAGAGCAGGGGGCCUGGGCACACAAGUGCUUGGAGCUCAGGCCCGGCUCUCUUGUGCCACUUCUCACCCACGGGACUCUGCCAGGCACUGUCAUCCUGGUACCUGCAGUUAUUUGUGGCAGCCGAAUCAUAAACAAAAAUUUUUUGCCAGAACAUUCUGAAGAUAUUGAUCCCAGCCUACAGGGGAAAGGUCAAUAACUCGAUGUCUAAUGCUGGAAAUUUUCCCCGAAACAAGCACGAUAAAGCAGGACGUGCAGCCGAAUAAACCUUCCACACGUCAGUCUCCCAGAAGGCCCUUCAUGAUCCCAAAGGUGCCUACCAAUGCCCCCAACGAGGCUCUCAAAAUGCUGUUACCGAAAAGAAGGAACUUCUUCACUCUCCGGGUUAGAUGUAGUGAAAACUGCCCAGGGCUUACAAAGAGAAGGGCUUUACACAGCCUAGAAGGACCUCUCUUCCUAAAAGCAGCUGUCUAUGUUGAUUAUUAAAUUUCCCAGUUACUAAAGGCUGGAGCUGUGCUGUCAGGUGCAAGAGCCACUAGCCAAGUGUGGCCACUGAGAGCGAAGCCUGGCCGGUCCAAAGCAAGAGUGCUGUAAGGAAAACAUGCUGGAUUUCGAAGACUUGGUACAAGUGAAAGAAGCAGAGGUGAACACUGAGCUACCCGAGACCUCCGCGAGGCAGGAUGGUGGCUAACGGACGGAUGCUGAGCCAGACUCCAUGGGUUUGAUUCCUGGCUCAGCCACUUCCUAGCUGUGUGCAUUUGGGUGUUACAGGAGUACCUACCAGCAUGUCAGAGUCUUGAAACGUGGCACGAGGAAGGAGCCCCAGGGAGGUGACG